UACGGAAGGCAGCAGUGGGGAAUAUUGCACAAUGGGCGAAAGCCUGAUGCAGCUAUGCCGCGUGUAUGAAGAAGGCCUUAGGGUUGUAAAGUACUUUCAUCGGGGAGGAAAAAACAAAACUAAUAAUUUUAUUUCUUGACGUUACCCGAAAAAGAAGCACCGGCUAACUCCGUGCCAGCAGCCGCGGUAAUACGGAGGGUGCUAGCGUUAAUCAGAAUUACUGGGCGUAAAGAGCACGUAGGUGGUUUUUUUAAAGUCAGAUGUGAAUCCCUGGGCUUAACCUGGAACUGCAUUUUGAAACUGAAAUACUAGAGUAUCGUAGAGGGAGGUAGAAUUCUAGGUGUAGCGGUGAAAUGCGUAGAUAUCUGGAGGAAUACCUGUGGCGAAAGCGGCCUCCUAAACCGGAAUACUGACACUGAGGUGCGAAAGCGUGGGGAGCAAACAGGGAUUAGAUACCCGU
rnacentral:rRNA from 1 species